AAAAAAAAAAAAAACCCCAAACAAAAACAACCACAUAUGCUUGGUUAAGGGCUAAGUUACCCCAGCAGCCAAAAAUAAAAUAAAAUAUCCAAAUUAUUAGCAUUAAUUUAAUACAAUUAUAACUUCAAUAGUCACUUUGUCAUUGACAAUGAUUGUGUGAGCACAGGCUGGGUGCCCAGGGCUGGGAGCAGAAGCUGUUGAGCAGCGCAGCGCCCCUCCCUGCAUCUUUGCCUGCACAGCUCCCACUUGUGCACAGCCCAACAGGUACUGUGUGUGCUUAAAAAUUCCCACCACACAAAUGUCUACUGAGCAGAUAACAGGGAAGAACAACAAAAGCUAAGCAGGACAAUGGCUCUGUCUUUGGGAUAUGACUAUUUCCCUUGUGCACGAAGUAUUCAACAACAGAAGAAAGGAAAGAACUUUAUAUUCUCUAACACAAGGCCGAGCUCAGCGGGGCAGGGCAGCUGCGAGCAUUUCUACUUCUACUUCCAGGCGUCGUCGUCUGACGUCUCGCUGCUGCUUGUUUCCGUGUCUGAGUCCUCACACUCUGCAAUGCAAGUGCUUCUCCAUGGGGAGAACAGGCUGGAACUACGGCCUUGUAAGAAGCCAUUCUUUACAAACCCGUUCCUUCGUAGCUGCAGAGCAUAGGAGAAAGAUAAAAAUCCUUCAGUGACUGCAGCGGUCCAUUCAAGCCUCAGUGUGCAGAGAAGUCUUACAAGGAUUUCAAUUCUUUUGAAAGAGACAGUGUCUUACUAUGUUGUCCUGGAACACCCUAUGUAGAUCAUGCUGGCCUCAAAUUCAAAAAUCUCUCUGUUUAUGUCCCAGGUUCUAGGCUUAAAGAUGUAUGCAACCAAA
rnacentral:lncRNA from 1 species